UACGUAGGGUGCGAGCGUUGUCCGGAAUUAUUGGGCGUAAAGAGCUCGUAGGCGGUGUGUCACGUCGGUCGUGAAAACCUGGGGCUUAACUCUGGGCUUGCGGUCGAUACGGGCAUCACUUGAGUUCGGCAGGGGAGACUGGAAUUCCUGGUGUAGCGGUGAAAUGCGCAGAUAUCAGGAGGAACACCGGUGGCGAAGGCGGGUCUCUGGGCCGAUACUGACGCUGAGAAGCGAAAGCGUGGGGAGCGAACAGG
rnacentral:rRNA from 1 species